rnacentral:lncRNA from 10 species
AGUUGGUCUUAGUCUUAGCUUGGCCCACACCCUGGUUGUGCAGAGUCUUACAGCCUCAAGCUUCUGCAGCUACUUCAACAGUUUUCCUUUUGCUAAUCAGGUUAAACUGCUGCUGGCAAUUUUCUAUUCUCCUGCAACCACCCUGAAUGACCCCUGUCUCAGGGGGACACAGGCACAGGCCCUUACAUGCUUACUCCUGGAAAGGAUGCAAGAAACCUAUGCUCACUUCUCAUAGCCCAAGGGACAUGCAAGAAUGGCUUUCCCUGCUGCUGUGCCCUCAGGGCAGGCAGAGUGGA